rnacentral:rRNA from 1 species
AUUGAACGCUGGCGGCAGGCCUAACACAUGCAAGUCGAGCGAGCGGCGGACGGGUGAGUAAUGUAUGGGAAACUGCCAGAUGGAGGGGGAUAACUACUGGAAACGGUAGCUAAUACCGCAUACCAUCGGAUGAGCCCAGAUGGGAUUAGCUAGUAGGUGGGGUAAUGGCUCACCUAGGCGACGAUCGCUAGCUGGUCUGAGAGGAGGACCAGCCACACUGGGACUGAGACACGGCCCAGACUCCUACGUGAGGCAGCAGUGGGGAAUAUUGCACAAUGGGCGCAAGCCUGAUGCAGCCAUGCCGCGUGUAUGAAGAAGGCCUUAGGGUUGUAAAGUACUUUCAGCGGGGAGGCGUUACCCGCAGAAGAAGCACCGGCUAACUCCGUGCCAGCAGCCGCGGUAAUAC